rnacentral:tRNA from 1 species
AAGGCUUUAGCUUAAUUAAAGCGUCUGAGUUGCAUUCAGAUGAUGUGAAUGAGAGUUUUACAGGUCUUA